UGCUUCGACGUCUCUGAGUGGACUCGUGAGCCAGAUCAGCCGACUUCGUUCAGUGUUCUAGCACAGCAACAGGAACCUAACUCAAACCCUUGGUUGCCUAGGGAGCUGGAGAUCAUCCUGAACUACACGAUGAAGAUUGUCUCACACAAGAACAGAGUGGGAAGCCAUCCAUACGGCUGGGCAGGUUAAAGCGCGUGUCCCGUGCACAUUAACAGCUCUUGCAAGGGAUCCUCACUCAACUGCCUGGAACCCCACCUCCAGGGGGGUCCAGCACAGGAUCCCUCAGCGGUGGUGCCGGUGGCCAGAGUCCUGCACCAGUUGUCAGAGAAUAAGUAGAGAUGCUCAGAUUGCAAAGGAGUGGGGAACACUUCCUCAAAGGAAAUCGGGAGAGCAGACCAGAAACACACUUCGAAGACUGACGACCCUGCCUCUAGGUCCCUGCCCCAAGUUCCUGCUCUGACUUCCCUCACGAUGGACUUUAAGUUGUAAG